rnacentral:rRNA from 1 species
UACGGAGGGUGCAAACGUUGCUCGGAAUCAUUGGGCGUAAAGCGCACGUAGGUGGCCUGUUAAGUCGGGUGUGAAAUCCCUGGGCUCAACCCAGGAAGUGCACUCGAAACUGGUAGGUUUGAGUACUGAAGAGGGUCGCGGAAUUCCCGGUGUAGAGGUGAAAUUCGUAGAUAUCGGGAGGAACACCAGUGGCGAAGGCGGCGACCUGGGCAGAUACUGACACUGAGGUGCGAAAGCGUGGGGAGCAACCAGG